GAAAUAAUAAAUGUAUAUUGGACUUGGCCCUUUUUCAUAGUAUCUCUUUCCAGAAUUUGUAACUGAACAACUUGAAGCAUGAAAUGAUCCUUUUUGUGUUAUCAGUGUAUUCCCACCAAGGAGCUCUCUGUAACCCAGUCUUUACCCUGGAAAUUCUUGCUGCAGUCUCCUCCGAUUCCCAUGUUUCUGUAUGGUAUCUCCACCAUAACUACACAGUGGCUUUGUUAGGAUUACAUGGAAAGUCUGCACCAAAACAGAGGAGUUUCCUCUGCACAGCCUAGUACCCUAAAUAUGUUUAGAUUUUUUAUAGGGUCUUGGAUGUAAUCAUCUUUUCUGUUGCAACACUGAGUGUAAUAGAGCUUCUGACUGCAAGUGCAGUACAUACAGACAGAAAUAAUCCUCGCGGCACUGUGCAAGAAGCAGGAGAUGCUGCAAACAGCGAGAGGAGGUGGCGCUAAGCCAACAUUUGGCACAGACAGCAAGAGCAGCACUGUAGCCUGAGGUAGCUCCCAAGGCAACAUCUGGAAAAACAGUGCUGGAUGGUGGCUGCGCAUUGCCCACAACCCUGGCAGAGGCACAGCAAGGCUGUUAGCCCAGAAUAAUGAAAUGUUGGUACCCUGAUGGAUGACAGGAAGACUUUGCAAUCUGUUGAAGUACAAUUAAUAGCUGGCAAGCUGAAGAUCAACACAGUUUGGGCCAGACAGAGUCACUUCAAGGUUUCUGUCCUUGUGUCCCAGUCAGCUGCAGCUCAGCCUGGAUUUUGAACCCCCAAGUGCAGAAGCAAUCCUGAUCCUGAAGCCUGCUUGUGAAAGGUAUCCCAGGCCUGCAAGACCAUGAGUCUUUUACAUCUGGUCAGAAUAAAGGCAGAGUGACAUGCAAUAUGGGGCGAGGUUUGAUGUGUAUUUUGUACUGCACUUUUGCUGUCCUCAAGCUCUUCUCUGAGGUGACAGUGCCAUCAGCUCACAUUGCUUCAGCUUCCUCUCCUGAUGUGUCUCCACUGGGGCUCAUUUUAAAGGAAAUGUUGUCUUUGCACUCAGCAGAAGAUGGGAAAAGCAGCCACGGAGUGAGGAGAGGAGCUCCACAGCACAAUUUUGCUUUUUUGUCUCUCUCUGCAGCCCCAGCAGAAAGGUCUGCCUAGCCCCAUACAGCCUGCUGUACCUGCCCACCCACAUCCACAGUGUAGCCUCAGAUGCUGCACAUAAAGCACAGCCAGCCCCUUACAUCAUAACCGAGGUUACCAAUCUGCUGACCACCUCUUGGGGCAGAAAAGCAGUUCAGGUGCUGAAUGUCCACCUUGUUCUGAUCAACCAGGACACAGUCAAAGGGCCCAGAGCU
rnacentral:lncRNA from 1 species